GCGAUCAAGACUCAGGGUUUAUGAGCUAUACUGGGACCAGCCACUGGAAGGCGAUCAAGACUCAGGGUUUAUGAGCUAUACUGGGACCAGCCACUGGAAGGCGAUCAAGACUCAGGGUUUUUGAGCUAUACUGGGACCAGCCACUGGGGGGCGAUCAAGACUCGGGGUUUUUGAGCUAUACUGGGAGCAGCCACUGGGAGGCGAUCAAGACUCAGGGUUUUUGAGCUAUACUGGGAGCAGCCACUGGGGGGUGAUCAAGACUUAAUUUCAACAGACGUGUAACUAAGGUCAGAGGUCAUCGGAGGCUCAACCAAUCCUCAGCUGGAAGAAUAAAAAUAAUAUAUAUGUUCAAUCAUUUGAA